rnacentral:rRNA from 1 species
GACGAACGCUAGCGGCGUGCUUAACACAUGCAAGUCGAACGAAGAGCGACGGAAGCUUGCUUCUAUCAAUCUUAGUGGCGAACGGGUGAGUAACGCGUAAUCAACCUGCCCUUCAGAGGGGGACAACAGUUGGAAACGACUGCUAAUACCGCAUACGAUCUAACCUCGGCAUCGAGGAUAGAUGAAAGGUGGCCUCUACAUGUAAGCUAUCACUGAAGGAGGGGAUUGCGUCUGAUUAGCUAGUUGGAGGGGUAACGGCCCACCAAGGCGAUGAUCAGUAGCCGGUCUGAGAGGAUGAACGGCCACAUUGGGACUGAGACACGGCCCAGACUCCUACGGGAGGCAGCAGUGGGGAAUCUUCCGCAAUGGACGAAAGUCUGACGGAGCAACGCCGCGUGAGUGAUGACGGCCUUCGGGUUGUAAAGCUCUGUUAAUCGGGACGAAAGGCCUUCUUGCGAAUAGUGAGAAGGAUUGACGGUACCGGAAUAGAAAGCCACGGCUAACUACGUG